ensembl:lncRNA
GGAAACUUCUGACCACAGAAAUGUGAACUCUGCUGGGGGCUUUCUAAAUGCCUUUUUCUAUUUUCAUUCUUACAGGGUGGUUGCAAACUGAGAAAUAGGUUGGGCUCAAAGUCCAAAACCACAAGUGCAAGUUGCAUCAAGCCUGUGCAAACUACAAACAACAGAACAGUUGCUCACAUUUCUUUUGUUCACAAAGGUCUUUUUGUUCCUCUAAAUGUAAGCAUUCUACUGUAUGGAGGUCUUUGAGCCCAUUCUGGUGCAUCAGAAUAAGACGUGGGAUGAAGCCCUGAACUACUGCAGACAGAACUACAUUGACCUGCCUGGUCUGUGGAGGGGGAACCCCAGUGCCCUGCUAGAAACCUGCGCUGUGGAGCUCUGGAUAGGAGGAGGAAUAUUUGCCAAACCAAAGACUGUGAGGAGACACUCAACUUUGUCUGCCUUAGGAAUCCAUAAAUGUUCUUCAUAUCACAAAUUUUACAUAUUGUUCAUAUUUUGUAAAUAUUUGCAGUCACAAAUAAUGGCUUCAUUUAUAAGCAGCAAUAACUUGACUCUCUUGAUUGAAUACCUACUGAAAUUUGGAGUUUUUACCAAAAUUGAAAUGAUCCGUUGUUUCCUUUUCUAGAUUUGUCUUGGGUUUCUCUAAACAUUUGUUAAUCAAAUAUACAACUGACACUGAUUGGCCUGUGCCUUUUUUAUUGAUUUAUUUAAAAAAUAAAAUGGAGA